ensembl:lncRNA
AGAGAGAGAGAGGUAGAGAGAGAGAGGUAGAGAGAGAGAGGUAGAGGUAGAGAGAGAGAGAGGUAGAGAGAGAGAGAGAGAGAGAGGUAGAGAGAGAGAGAGGUAGAGAGAGAGAGGUAGAGAGAGAGGGUAGAGAGAGAGAGGUAGAGAGAGAGAGAGAGGUAGAGAGAGAGGUAGAGAGAGAGAGAGAGAGAGAGAGGUAGAGAGAGAGAGGUAGAGAGAGAGAGGUAGAGAGAGAGAGGUAGAGAGAGAGAGAGAGAGGUAGAGAGAGAGAGAGAGAGAGGUAGAGAGAGAGAGAGGUAGAGAGAGAGAGGUAGAGAGGUAGAGAGAGAGAGAGAGAGAGGUAGAGAGAGAGAGGUAGAGAGAGAGAGGUAGAGAGAGAGGUAGAGAGAGAGAGGUAGAGAGAGAGAGGUAGAGAGAGAGAGAGG